rnacentral:rRNA from 1 species
GACGAACGCUGGCGGCGUGCUUAACACAUGCAAGUCGAACGGAAAGGCCCUGCUUUUGUUGGGUGCUCGUGUGGCGAACGUGUGAGUAACACGUGAGUAACCUGCCCUUGACUUUGGUAUAACUUCAGGAAACUGGGGCUAAUACCGGAUAGGAGCUCCUGCUGCAUUGUGGGGGUUGGAAAGUUUCGGCGGUUGGGGAUGGACUCGCGGCUUAUCAGCUUGUUGGUGGGGUAGUGGCUUACCAAGGCUUUGACGGGUAGCCGGCCUGAGAGGGUGACCGGCCACAAUGGGACUGAGACACGGCCCAGACUCCUACGGGAGGCAGCAGUGGGGAAUAUUGCACAAUGGGCGGAAGCCUGAUGCAGCAACGCCGCGUGCGGGAUGACGGCCUUCGGGUUGUAAACCGCUUUCGCCUGUGACGAAGCGAGAGUGACGGUAAUGGGUAAAGAAGCACCGGCUAACUACGUG